CUCCGUCUCAAAAAAAAACAAAAAAAAAGGAAAGCGGAAUCUACACCUUCUCGGCCAGCGGUAGCAACUGCAGAACUGCAGGAGACAAUCUUUCUAGACAAGGCAGUUGAGGAGGAGGGAGUGCUUGAGGGGGACUGUCCUGGCGUGCACUCCGCACCUCGGGGACGUUAUUGAGUGUGGAACGGCUGCUUUUGGAAGACUAUUGCCCAGAGGAAAAGAUGUUUAGUUUUCACAAGCCAAAGAUGUACCGAAGUAUAGAGGGCUGCUGUAUUUGCAGAGCUAAGUCCUCCAGUUCUCAAUUCACUGACAGUAAACACUAUGAAAAGGACUUCCAGAGCUGUUUUGGAUUGCAUGAGACUCGUUCAGGAGACAUCUGCAAUGCCUGUGUCCUGCUUGUGAAAAGAUGGAAGAAGUUGCCAGCAGGAUCAAAAAAAAAACUGGAAUCAUGUGGUAGAUGUAAGGGCUGGACCCAGUCUAAAGACUACAUUGAAACCAAAGAAAGUGAAAACUCUAUCUGGGAACAGGAUAAAAAGCAACCAGAUCAGUAAACUGCAGAAGGAAUUUAAACGUCAUAAUUCUGAUGCUCACAGUACCACCUCAAGUGCCUCCCCAGCUGAAUCUCCUUGUUACAGUAACCAGUCAGAUGACGGCUCAGAUACAGAGAUGGCUUCUGGUUCUAAUAGAACACCAGUUUUUUCCUUUUUAGAUCUCACAUACUGGAAAAGACAGAAGAUAUGUUGUGGGAUCAUCUAUAAAGGCCGUUUUGGGAAAGUCCUCAUUGACACACAUCUCUUCAAGCCUUGCUGCAGCAAUAAGAAAGCAGCUGCCGAGAAGCCAGAGGAGCAGGGGCCAGAGCCCCUGCCCAUCUCCACUCAGGAGUGGUGACAGGUUUUUAUGUAGAAGGGGAACAACAAAAAAAAAAAAUCUAAAUUUUGAAAAGACCACAAAGCAACAAACUGACCCUCUGUUUUGUUUUUGUUUUUUUUUUUUUUGAGAUGGAGUCUUGCUCUUGUUGCCUAGGCUGGAGUGCAGUGGCGUGAUCUUAGCUCACUGCAACUUCCGCCUCCCGGGUUCAAGUGAUUCUCCUGCCUCAGCCUCCCAAGUAACUGGGUUUAUAGGUGCCCACCACCAGACCCAGCUAAUUUUUUAGUUUUUGUAGAGAUGGGGUUUCACCACGUUGGCCAGGCUGGUCUCAAAUGACCCUCCUAGUUUUAACUUGGGUAUCUGCUAUUCUGCCAAAAGACAAUUUCUAGAGUAGUUUUGAAUGGGUUGAUUUCCCCCAGUCCCACAAACUCUGAAGCCAGUGUCUAGCUUACUAAAAAAAGAGUUGUACGUAAUAUUUAAGAUGCUGAGUAUUUCAUAGGAAAGCUGAAUGCUGCUGUAAAGUGCUCUUUAAGUCUUUUUUUUUUUUCUUUUAAUCCCCUUCUAAUGAAUGAAACUAGGGGAAUUUCAGGGGACAGAGAUGGGAUUUGUUGUAUGAUAAACUGUAUGUAGUUUUUAGUCUUUCUGUAUUGAGAAGCAGUGGUUGGGGCAUUUUUUAAGAUGGCUGGCUACUCUUGUUUUCCCUCACGAUAAUAAAUUUGUCAUAACUCAGUAACAUGGACUUGCCCCUAGAGGUAGUUGUUGAUAAUUCUGAAAUAUUAAGGUCUUGCCAAGCUUCUGAUGAUUCAAACCUGUACUACUGAUUAUUAAGCAGGACAGAUUGAGCUUUCUGUUGCAAAUACCUUGGAGGAGAAAGUAAUUUCUAAAUAUACAGAGGUAACUUGACUAUAUAUGUUGCAUCCUGUGCCUCCCUUCAUAUUAAUAUUUGAUAAAGAUUUUAAUUUAUGUAAAACUUCUAAAGCAGAAUCAAAAGCUCCUCUUUGGGAAAUGGCAGGUCUUUAGGACAGGCGAGACCCCGUAUGAAUAGUACCAAAGCAUUACCGCAUGGUAGAGAGCACACUCUAUUAAAAAUGUUAAGCUAUCUGAAAAAUAAAAUGUGCAAGUCUUCAGGAUGGCACAAAACAAAGGUUAAUGCUUCUUGGGGCACAUUUCUUAGAGGGCUUGUUGAGUGUGUACAUAUAAUUGACUUUUGUUUGUGUUACAUGACUUUGAUGACCAUUGAAAAUCUGCACAAUUCA